rnacentral:rRNA from 1 species
GGUGCUUGCACUGGGUGGAUGAGUGGCGAACGGGUGAGUAAUACGUGAGUAACCUGCCCUUGACUCUGGGAUAAGCCUGGGAAACUGGGUCUAAUACUGGAUAUGACCUCCUGUCGCAUGGUGGGGGGUGGAAAGGGUUUGUACUGGUUGUGGAUGGGCUCACGGCCUAUCAGCUUGUUGGUGGGGUAAUGGCUUACCAAGGCGACGACGGGUAGCCGGCCUGAGAGGGUGACCGGCCACACUGGGACUGAGACACGGCCCAGACUCCUACGGGAGGCAGCAGUGGGGAAUAUUGCACAAUGGGCGCAAGCCUGAUGCAGCGACGCCGCGUGAGGGAUGACGGCCUUCGGGUUGUAAACCUCUUUCAGCACGGAAGAAGCGAAAGUGACGGUACGUGCAGAAGAAGCGCCGGCUAACUACGUGCCAGCAGCCGCGGUAAUACGUAGGGCGCAAGCGUUGUCCGGAAUUAUUGGGCGUAAAGAGCUCGUAGGCGGUUUGUCGCGUCUGCUGUGAAAGCCCGGGGCUUAACCCCGGGUGUGCAGUGGGUACGGGCAGACUUGAGUGCAGUAGGGGAGACUGGAACUCCUGGUGUAGCGGUGAAAUGCGCAGAUAUYAGGAAGAACACCGAUGGCGAAGGCAGGUCUCUGGGCUGUUACUGACGCUGAGGAGCGAAAGCAUGGGGAGCGAACAGGAUUAGAUACCCUGGUAGUCCAUGCCGUAAACGUUGGGCACUAGGUGUGGGGGACAUUCCACGUUUUCCGCGCCGUAGCUAACGCAUUAAGUGCCCCGCCUGGGGAGUACGGCCGCAAGGCUAAAACUCAAAGGAAUUGACGGGGGCCCGCACAAGCGGCGGAGCAUGCGGAUUAAUUCGAUGCAACGCGAAGAACCUUACCAAGGCUUGACAUACACCGGAUCGGCUCAGAGAUGAGUUUUCCUCCUUGUGGGGCUGGUGUACAGGUGGUGCAUGGUUGUCGUCAGCUCGUGUCGUGAGAUGUUGGGUUAGUCCCGCAACGAGCGCACCCUCGUUCUAUGUUGCAGCACGUGAUGAUGGGGACUCAUAGAGACUGGCUGGGGUUCAACUCGGA